GACGAACGCUGGCGGCGUGCUUAACACAUGCAAGUCGAACGGAAAGGCCCUUUCGGGGGUACUCGAGUGGCGAACGGGUGAGUAACACGUGGGUGAUCUGCCCUGCACUUUGGGAUAAGCCUGGGAAACUGGGUCUAAUACCGGAUAGGACCACGGUCUGCAUGGAUUGUGGUGGAAAGCUUUUGCGGUGUGGGAUGGGCCCGCGGCCUAUCAGCUUGUUGGUGGGGUGAUGGCCUACCAAGGCGACGACGGGUAGCCGGCCUGAGAGGGUGACCGGCCACACUGGGACUGAGAUACGGCCCAGACUCCUACGGGAGGCAGCAGUGGGGAAUAUUGCACAAUGGGCGCAAGCCUGAUGCAGCGACGCCGCGUGGGGGAUGACGGCCUUCGGGUUGUAAACCUCUUUCAGCAUCGACGAAGCGCAAGUGACGGUAGAUGCAGAAGAAGCACCGGCCAACUACGUGCCAGCAGCCGCGGUAAUACGUAGGGUGCGAGCGUUGUCCGGAAUUACUGGGCGUAAAGAGCUCGUAGGUGGUUUGUCGCGUCGUCCGUGAAAACUCACAACUCAAUUGUGGGCGUGCGGGCGAUACGGGCAGACUUGAGUACUGCAGGGGAGACUGGAAUUCCUGGUGUAGCGGUGGAAUGCGCAGAUAUCAGGAGGAACACCGGUGGCGAAGGCGGGUCUCUGGGCAGUAACUGACGCUGAGGAGCGAAAGCGUGGGGAGCGAACAGGAUUAGAUACCCUGGUAGUCCACGCCGUAAACGGUGGGUACUAGGUGUGGGUUUCCUUCCUUGGGAUCCGUGCCGUAGCUAACGCAUUAAGUACCCCGCCUGGGGAGUACGGCCGCAAGGCUAAAACUCAAAGGAAUUGACGGGGGCCCGCACAAGCGGCGGAGCAUGUGGAUUAAUUCGAUGCAACGCGAAGAACCUUACCUGGGUUUGACAUGCACAGGACGCCGGCAGAGAUGUCGGUUCCCUUGUGGCCUGUGUGCAGGUGGUGCAUGGCUGUCGUCAGCUCGUGUCGUGAGAUGUUGGGUUAAGUCCCGCAACGAGCGCAACCCUUGUCCUAUGUUGCCAGCACGUAAUGGUGGGGACUCGUAGGAGACUGCCGGGGUCAACUCGGAGGAAGGUGGGGAUGACGUCAAGUCAUCAUGCCCCUUAUGUCCAGGGCUUCACACAUGCUACAAUGGCCGGUACAAAGGGCUGCGAUGCCGUGAGGUGGAGCGAAUCCUUUCAAAGCCGGUCUCAGUUCGGAUCGGGGUCUGCAACUCGACCCCGUGAAGUCGGAGUCGCUAGUAAUCGCAGAUCAGCAACGCUGCGGUGAAUACGUUCCCGGGCCUUGCACUCACCGC
rnacentral:rRNA from 1 species